rnacentral:rRNA from 1 species
AACGAACGCUGGCGGCAGGCUUAACACAUGCAAGUCGAACGCCCCGCAAGGGGAGUGGCAGACGGGUGAGUAACGCGUGGGAAUCUACCCAGUUCUACGGAACAACUGAGGGAAACUUCAGCUAAUACCGUAUACGCCCUACGGGGGAAAGAUUUAUCGGAAUUGGAUGAGCCCGGGUUGGAUUGGUUAGUUGGUGAGGUAACGGCUCACCAAGGCGACGAUCCAUAGCUGGUAUGAGAGGAUGAUCAGCAACACUGGGACUGAGACACGGCCCAGACUCCUACGGGAGGCAGCAGUGGGGAAUAUUGGACAAUGGGGGCAAGCCUGAUCCAGCCAUGCCGCGUGAGUGAUGAAGGCCUUAGGGUUGUAAAGCUCUUUCAGUGGGGACGAUAAUGACGGUACCCACAGAAGAAGCCCCGGCUAACUUCGUGCCAGCAGCCGCGGUAACAC